rnacentral:rRNA from 1 species
CCUACGUGAGGCAGCAGUGAGGAAUAUUGGUCAAUGGCCGAGAGGCUGAACCAGCCAAGUCGCGUGAGGGAAGACGGCCCUACGGGUUGUAAACCUCUUUUGUCGGGGAGCAAAGCGAACCACGUGUGGUUCAUUGAGAGUACCCGAAGAAAAAGCAUCGGCUAACUCCGUGCCAGCAGCCGCGGUAAUACGGAGGAUGCGAGCGUUACUCGGAAUCACUGGGCGUAAAGAGUGCGCAGGCGGGCUUGUAAGUCAGAUGUGAAAUCCUGUAGGUUAACGACAGAACUGCAUUUGAAACUAUGAGUCUAGAGUGUGGGAGAGGUAGGUGGAAUGCGUGGUGUAGGGGUAAAAUCCGUAGAUAUCAAGAGGAAGACUCAUUGCGAAGGCGACCUACUGGAACAUUACUGACGCUCAUGCACGAAAGCGUGGGGAGCAAACAGGAUUAGAUACCCCAGUAGUC